AACGAACGCUGGCGGCAGGCCUAACACAUGCAAGUCGAACGCCGUAGCAAUACGGAGUGGCAGACGGGUGAGUAACACGUGGGAACGUACCUUUCGGUUCGGAAUAACUCAGGGAAACUUGAGCUAAUACCGGAUACGUGCGAGAGCAGAAAGAUUUAUCGCCGAAAGAUCGGCCCGCGUCCGAUUAGCUUGUUGGUGAGGUAACGGCUCACCAAGGCGACGAUCGGUAGCUGGUCUGAGAGGAUGAUCAGCCACACUGGGACUGAGACACGGCCCAGACUCCUACGGGAGGCAGCAGUGGGGAAUAUUGGACAAUGGGGGCAACCCUGAUCCAGCAAUGCCGCGUGAGUGAUGAAGGCCUUAGGGUUGUAAAGCUCUUUCGGCCGGGAAGAAAUCGCAUGGGUUAAUACCCUGUGCGGAUGACGGUACCGGCAUAAGAAGCACCGGCUAACUACGUGCCAGCAGCCGCGGUAAU
rnacentral:rRNA from 1 species